rnacentral:rRNA from 1 species
UACGAAGGGGGCUAGCGUUGCUCGGAAUCACUGGGCGUAAAGGGUGCGUAGGCGGGUCUUUAAGUCAGGGGUGAAAUCCUGGAGCUCAACUCCAGAACUGCCUUUGAUACUGAGGGGCUUGAGUCCGGGAGAGGUGAGUGGAACUGCGAGUGUAGAGGUGAAAUUCGUAGAUAUUCGCAAGAACACCAGUGGCGAAGGCGGCUCACUGGCCCGGUACUGACGCUGAGGUGCGAAAGCGUGGGGAGCAAACAGG